rnacentral:rRNA from 1 species
UGGGGAAUAUUGGACAAUGGGCGAAAGCCUGAUCCAGCCAUGCCGCGUGUGUGAAGAAGGUCUUCGGAUUGUAAAGCACUUUAAGUUGGGAGGAAGGGCAGUAAGCGAAUACCUUGCUGUUUUGACGUUACCGACAGAAUAAGCACCGGCUAACUCUGUGCCAGCAGCCGCGGUAAUACAGAGGGUGCAAGCGUUAAUCGGAAUUACUGGGCGUAAAGCGCGCGUAGGUGGUUCGUUAAGUUGAAUGUGAAAGCCCCGGGCUCAACCUGCGAACUGCAUCCAAGACUGGCGGGCUAGAGUAGGGCAGAGGGUGGUGGAAUUUCCUGUGUAGCGGUGAAAUGCGUAGAUAUAGGCAGGAACACCAGUGGCGAAGGCGACCACCUGGGCUCAUACUGACACUGAGGUGCGAAAGCGUGGGGAGCAAACAGG